rnacentral:rRNA from 1 species
GACGAACGCUGGCGGCGUGCUUAACACAUGCAAGUCGAACGGAAGGGCCCUGCUUUUGUGGGGUGCUCGAGUGGCGAACGGGUGAGUAACACGUGAGUAACCUGCCCUUACUUUGGGAUAACUUCAGGAAACUGGGGCUAAUACCGGAUAGGAGCUCCUGCUGCAUGGUGGGGGUUGGAAAGUUUCGGCGGUUGGGGAUGGACUCGCGGCUUAUCAGCUUGUUGGUGGGGUAGUGGCUUACCAAGGCUUUGACGGGUAGCCGGCCUGAGAGGGUGACCGGCCACAUUGGGACUGAGAUACGGCCCAGACUCCUACGGGAGGCAGCAGUGGGGAAUAUUGCACAAUGGGCGGAAGCCUGAUGCAGCAACGCCGCGUGCGGGAUGACGGCCUUCGGGUUGUAAACCGCUUUCGCCUGUGACGAAGCGUGAGUGACGGUAAUGGGUAAAGAAGCACCGGCUAACUACGUG